UUUUAGCAUAAUUCUGGUUGAGCUUGUGCUUCAAUUUAUGUUGAUGGCCUUAGUCUAUAAUUACAUCAUAUUUUUUAUAAAAAUAACAAAGCUGCUUUUUUUGUUUGCACUAAUUACUGCAGAAGACCUAUUCUUUUAAUUAAGAUUUGUCAAUCAAGAAGUGUUUGUUCCUUAUGUAAGCCAUACUUUUGUUAAGGCAAAAAUGUAUUUUUACCAAAUAAAUGAAC